GUGCUCGCUUCGGCAGCACAUAUACUAAAAUUCGAGUGAUACAGAGAAGAUUAGCAUGACCCCUGUGCAAGGAUAACAGGCAAAUUUGUGACGUCUUCCAUAUUUAA